AAGUAUAAAGCAACAUUAUGCAUUUAGUUUCGACCUAAAAAUUUGAUUACAAUAUCUAUAUUUA
rnacentral:tRNA from 1 species